rnacentral:rRNA from 1 species
CAGUCGCCACGGUAAUACGGAGGGUGCAAGCGUUAAUCGGAAUUACUGGGCGUAAAGCGCACGCAGGCGGUUUGUUAAGUCAGAUGUGAAAUCCCCGAGCUUAACUUGGGAACUGCAUUUGUGACUGGCAAGCUAGAGUAUGGCAGAGGGGGGUGGAAUUCCCGGAGUAGCGGUGAAAUGCGCAGAUACCGGGAGGAACGCCGAUGGCGAAGGCAGCCACCUGGUCCACUUCUGACGCUCAUGCACGAAAGCGUGGGGAGCAAACAGGAUUAGAUACCCCAUAGUCCCUGUCUCUUAUACC